CGGCAGGCUUAACACAUGCAAGUCGAGCGGGAGAGAGGUAGCUUGCUACUGAUCUUAGCGGCGGACGGGUGAGUAAUGCUUAGGAAUCUGCCUAUUAGUGGGGGNCAACAUUUCGAAAAGGAAUGCUAAUACCGCAUACGUCCUACGGGAGAAAGCAGGGGAUCUUCGGACCUUGCGCUAAUAGAUGAGCCUAAGUCGGAUUAGCUAGUUGGUGGGGUAAAGGCCUACCAAGGCGACGAUCUGUAGCGGGUCUGAGAGGAUGAUCCGCCACACUGGGACUGAGACACGGCCCAGACUCCUNCGGGAGGCAGCAGUGGGGAAUAUUGGACAAUGGGCGCAAGCCUGAUCCAGCCAUGCCGCGUGUGUGAAGAAGGCCUUAUGGUUGUAAAGCACUUUAAGCGAGGAGGAGGCUACUUUAGUUAAUACCUAGAGAUAGUGGACGUUACUCGCAGAAUAAGCACCGGCUAACUCUGUGCCAGCAGCCGCGGUAAUACAGAGGGUGCAAGCGUUAAUCGGAUUUACUGGGCGUAAAGCGCGCGUAGGCGGCUAAUUAAGUCAAAUGUGAAAUCCCCGAGCUUAACUUGGGAAUUGCAUUCGAUACUGGUUAGCUAGAGUGUGGGAGAGGAUGGUAGAAUUCCAGGUGUAGCGGUGAAAUGCGUAGAGAUCUGGAGGAAUACCGAUGGCGAAGGCAGCCAUCUGGCCUAACACUGACGCUGAGGUGCGAAAGCAUGGGGAGCAAACAGGAUUAGAUNCCCUGGUAGUCCAUGCCGUAAANCGNAUGUCUACUAGCCGUUGGGGCCUUUGAGGCUUUAGUGGCGCAGCUAACGCGAUAAGUAGACCGCCUGGGGAGUACGGUCGCAAGACUAAAACUCAAAUGAAUUGACGGGGGCCCGCACAAGCGGUGGAGCAUGUGGUUUAAUUCGAUGCAACGCGAAGAACCUUACCUGGCCUUGACAUAGUAAGAACUUUCCAGAGAUGGAUUGGUGCCUUCGGGAACUUACAUACAGGUGCUGCAUGGCUGUCGUCAGCUCGUGUCGUGAGAUGUUGGGUUAAGUCCCGCAACGAGCGCAACCCUUUUCCUUAUUUGCCAGCGAGUAAUGUCGGGAACUUUAAGGAUACUGCCAGUGACAAACUGGAGGAAGGCGGGGACGACGUCAAGUCAUCAUGGCCCUUACGGCCAGGGCUACACACGUGCUACAAUGGUCGGUACAAAGGGUUGCUACCUAGCGAUAGGAUGCUAAUCUCAAAAAGCCGAUCGUAGUCCGGAUUGGAGUCUGCAACUCGACUCCAUGAAGUCGGAAUCGCUAGUAAUCGCGGAUCAGAAUGCCGCGGUGAAUACGUUCCCGGGCCUUGUACACACCGCCCGUCACACCAUGGGAGUUUGUUGCACCAGAAGUAGCUAGCCUAACUGCAAAGAGGGCGGUUACCACGGUGUGGCCGAUGACUGGGGUGAAGUCGUAAC
rnacentral:rRNA from 1 species